GGCCAGCAAUUUGGGCAUGGAUGAUUGCCGGGUGAGUUCUCUGUUUAUCUGGUUUGAUUCGUUUGGAUCGGAGGUAGUCUGAAGUGUAUCCAUGAGUGAUUUACUGGAAGCAUCUCUAUAUACUUUUUUCAUACUACAGUUCUAAUCAAGAGUUAGGAUGGUCCUUCUACUGAACAAUAGAGUUCUCCUAUUUUAAAACAGGUCGGCAUUUGUCCUGAAUGAUCCUAUUUUAAAACAGAUGUGGUGUGCGAUGGUCCAAUAAGAAUGUGAGCUGGAUUGGUGUUCUCAAGGUCUCCGAUAAUUGAUGGAUUAUUAGAGUUACUUUGCAUUGGGAAGAUUCAUGAGAAAUAUAUCCUUUAAAUGUAAACGGAACACGAGAAACUGCUACAGUGAUUUAGUAAGCGUGUUAUUCCUACCUCUAAUACCCAUCCUUUCAUGCAUUUGUGUUUCUAGGACGUUUUCGGCCCGUAUGUUAGCUUAUGCAUUGUUCCUGGUACUCUGUCCAGCAAAAUGCUCAGAAGCCGUAAUUAAAGUUCUUUAUGGCAAAGAACUUUCAUAUGUGGUAAUAAUCAAUAUUAUUUUCUUCCAGUUCUCUUUCUGUGGAUUGUAUGUGUGCUUAUCAGUAGCAAAAAGAAUAAAACUUGAAGAAAAAAAUA